rnacentral:lncRNA from 1 species
GGCCGUCAAGUACAGAUUAACAAUUACUCCUUCCACAGGAGGCAAAAGAAUCGGAGGCUCCUGCAACUUUUUCUUUUAUUCUUUCAAUGCCCCUUGGCAAUCAUUAUUUCACCUGACCGUUUGAUUUUUUUUUUUUGAAUGGGUUCCCACGCGGCUGUUAGAUGAGAUGUGAACCAUGACAGGUAGUUUAAUCUUUCUAAGAAACCACGAACCUCUUCUUUUCUUUCUCGGUUCAGGCAUUUUUUUUUUUUUUUUUUUUUUANAUUUACAAUAAACCCCCAACAUCUUACCGGAUCGCACUCUGAUAGUGCACUUAUUCGAAUUCAACCUCAGUUUGAAUUAUCUCC